rnacentral:misc_RNA from 1 species
AUUUCGCGAUAUAAACCGAUCACAAACCCUUCACGUACACGUUCAACCAAUAUCUAGACAGAUGUUCGCCGCGACAAUUUCGUCAUCUUGACUACAUCGGACAGUUCACAACCGACAUCCGAUACAUUAAAGGCUUGGACAAUAAUGUAGCCGACGCUUUAUCUCGCAUCGAAGCGAAAGGGAAGUCUGUGGACUACAAAACUCUGCAGGAGAACAACACCGAGGUACGCGACAUCGUCAAGUCCGAUACAUCCGGAUUAUAAUUAAAGAAGAUACGUUUUCCUGAUUACGACGUAUCAGGCGACAUUGUACGACCGUUUAUACCGAAAUCCUUGCGGCACAGCGUAUAGAAUUCAGUCCAGGGACUUUCCCAUUCUGGGAUACGCGCUACGCAAAAACCUGGUGACGACGUGUUUCGUCCAACCCUCAAUAAAUAAAGACAGCCGAAACUGGUCACGACAAUGUAUUCCGUGUCAGCGAUGUAAAGUCACCAGGCACGUAUCCUUACCAACCGGAACAUUCGAAGUGUUAACAGGGAUACGCGCGACCCAAAAACUCGUAAAAUCGCGUUUUGUUUGGCCUGCGCUAAACAAAGAUUGCCAAACAUGGACACGGCAAUGCAUCCCGCGUCAACAAUGUAAAAUAACGAGACACGUAUCAACGCCGACCGGAACAUUCGGAGAGCUCGCAGGACGAUUCGAGCAUAUACAUUUAGACAUUCUCGUCAUGCAAUACUCACAAGGCUGCCGAUAUUGUCUAACAUGUAUCGAUCGUUUUUCACGUUGGCCCGAAGCGAUUCCUAUACCAGAUAUGGAAGCAACGACCGUUGCCUCG